GGCUCAGUGGUCUAGUGGUAUGAUUCUCGCUUUGGGUGCGAGAGGACACGGGUUCGAUUCCCGUCUGAGCCC
rfam:Nematostella vectensis strain CH2 x CH6 NEMVEscaffold_330_Cont24027, whole genome shotgun sequence.